rnacentral:rRNA from 1 species
AGCUCCAAUAGCGUAUACUACCACUGUUGCGGUUAAAACGCUCGUAGUCGAAAUCUUUUUCCAAGACGAAAUGUAUUUCGUCUUGGUACUAUGUUAACGAUUUGGAUGAGGGGACGGUUACACGUGAAUCCAAUUCCAGUCGCUGACAAGUUACCGUGAAAAAAUUAUGGUGUUCAAGGCAAGCACGAAGUGCUCUGGAUACAUUAGCAUGGGAUAACACCGAAUCGCUUCGAACCAUGGGUGCGCUGAGAGCACAAGGGAUCGAAGUAACCUAAUAGGAGCAGUCGGGGGUAGUCGCAUUCCAUCGCUAGGGGUGAAAUUCUUUGACCGAUGGAAGACGAACAAUAGCGAAAGCAUCUACCAAGAAUGUUUUCA